ensembl:snRNA LOC120102773 U4 spliceosomal RNA
AGCUUUGCGCAGUGGCAGUAUCGUAGCCAAUGAGGUUUAUCCGAGGCACGAUUAUUGCUAAUUGAAAACUAUAAAUGUGCAUAUGUCAAAAUAUCUGGGGCUGGGGAUCUAGCUCAGUGGUAGAGCGCUUACCUAGGAAGUGCAAGGCCCUGGGUUCGGUCCCCAGCUCCAAAAAAGAAAUAUAUAUAUAUAUAUAUAUAUAUAUAUAUAUAUAUAUAUAUAUAUAUAUAUA